rnacentral:rRNA from 1 species
UCCGACGGGUGCAAGCGUGAAUCGGAAUUACUGGGCGUAAAGCGCGCGUAGGUGGUUUGUUAAGUUGGAUGUGAAAGCCCCGGGCUCAACCUGGGAACUGCAUCCAAAACUGGCAAGCUAGAGUAUGGCAGAGGGUGGUGGAAUUUCCGGUGUAGCGGUGAAAGGCGUAGAUAUAGGAAGGAACACCAGUGGCGAAGGCGACCACCUGGGCUAAUACUGACACUGAGGUGCGAAAGCGUGGGGCGCAAACAGGAUUAGAUACCCCGGUA